rnacentral:lncRNA from 1 species
CUCAGUGGAUCGCGUCCCUUCUCCCGCGCUCGGGCACUGGCCCGCCGGCGGCUCUGCGCUUGCGCACGCUCCCCGCACCGUAGCGCGCGCGUCGGGCCGCCCCUCUGGCACGCCCUCCCCGGCUUCACCUUGGGCCCGCGGCGAGGUCUCGGCCCCUGCGGCUCGCGCGCUGCCCGGGCCGGACGGCGGCGCCUGGCGGGAGCGCGCCCGGGGGGGACGGCGCAGGCGUGGAGUUUCCGGACGCAGCGUCCGUCCCGCUGACUUCCCGCGUGGGGCCCGAGUUUCCGAGCGGCUCACCCACCGCUUCCUGCCGGGUGGCUUAUUGUUCUCUUCCAGCUGCCUGGGCAGGUGGCCGCGCCCCGCUUUUCGGCGUACUUGCUCCGCGCAUUUCGCUUCCGGGGUGCUGACACCCACAGCAGCUGGGUCUUAACCCAGGCCUUUAGUUUUCACCCUUUGCGUAGGUGGUGUCACUGAAUUGCUCUGGCGGGGCUGGAACUCUUGAUACUCCUGCUCCAACUCCCAGAGUGCUUGGGAUUACAGAACUUUUAGCAGUAACCAACAGCCGGCUACAGCAUGCAGGCCAUGGGUUUACCACCACUGCCCUGUGCUAUCUCAGACACAAUCACCUUCCUCAGUUCCCGGAGCACGACCUGCAUGCCUGUUGGAGUGAUUGUCAGCCUGUGAGAGCCUCUGGAAACCAUGAUUCUCUUCUGCUCAGUGAGCCCGACGUGGGAGCGAGACCUGCAGUACUGUCCUGGGCGAGGCUCAUUCCCAGUGUGUUCUUGAAGAGCAAGUUUGGGUCGUGUCACUUCUCCACUCAGAGCCCUAAUGGCCCCUCAUCUCACUUGGAAGAAGCCCAAGAUCUCUGCCACAGCCUUGUGAGCGGGCUCCUGCUCCCUGUCAGAUCUCUUACCGUUCUCUCACCCUCACUCAAGCCUCGCUGGAAGCCGUGCUGGGCCUCACACACAAGAGCCUCUUGCUUCACAGUCUAUGUGUUGAGUUCCUGUGUGUAGACCACGCCUCUCCCAGAUCCACACAAAGCUCACCUUCUCAGGGGUUCUGCUCAGAUUUCCUGUCCAAUCAGCUUUUCUGAAUGUUCUUCCAAGAGCAGCCAGUUCAGACCCUUCCCAGCCAUUCUGACCCCUCUUACUGUGAUUAGUUUUUCUCACCACCUGAAAUAUUACUUGUUUAUUGCCGUCUCCCUGCACUAAACAUGAGGCUUCAAGAGAGCAGGCACUUGAUUCCGUUCCCAGCUCCUGGACAGCGCUAGC